rnacentral:rRNA from 1 species
AUACGUAGGGUGCGAGCGUUGUCCGGAAUUACUGGGCGUAAAGAGCUCGUAGGUGGUUUGUCGCGUCGUCUGUGAAAUUCCGGGGCUUAACUCCGGGCGUGCAGGCGAUACGGGCAUAACUUGAGUACUGUAGGGGAGACUGGAAUUCCUGGUGUAGCGGUGAAAUGCGCAGAUAUCGGGAGGAACACCGGUGGCGAAGGCGGGUCUCUGGGCAGUAACUGACGCUGAGGAGCGAAAGCAUGGGUAGCGAACAGGAUUAGAUACCCUGGUAGUCCAUGCCGUAAACGGUGGGCGCUAGGUGUAGGGGUCUUCCACGACUUCUGUGCCGUAGCUAACGCAUUAAGCGCCCCGCCUGGGGAGUACGGCCGCAAGGCUAAAACUCAAAGGAAUUGACGGGG